rnacentral:misc_RNA from 1 species
GAUGAAGAACGUAGCGAAAUGCGAUACGUAAUGUGAAUUGCAAAUUCAGUGAAUCAUCGAGUCUUUGAACGCACAUUGCGCCCCCUGGUAUUCCGGGGGGCAUGCCUGUCCGAGCGUCAUUACUGCCCUCAAGCCCGGCUUGUGUGUUGGGCCCCGUCCUCCGAUCCCGGGGGACGGGCCCGAAAGGCAGCGGCGGCACCGCGUCCGGUCCUCGAGCGUAUGGGGCUUUAUCACCCGCUCUGUAGGCCCGGCCGGCGCUUGCCGAUCAACCCCAAUUUUUAUAGGUUGACCUCGGAUCAGGUAGGGAUACCCGCUGAACUUAAGCAUAUCAAUAAGCGGAGGA